AGUAGUAAAUUUAAUUCAUAUGUAGCACAGUAUUGCUUUAUGCUGUAGCAUCCACAAUUUUCAAAAGCAUUUUGAGACAAAUGAGCAGAUAGGAAUAACAACCUUAAUUGUAUAUACAAGAAAUAUUCAUCUUUAUUCAAAAGCUAUGUCCAAAGGAAAAAGCAUUGAGCAUAUACCUCAAUACAGAAGUUCUACAAAAUUUUUUUUUUUUAAAUGAUUAAAAAAAUACCAAAAACUUGGACUAAUUAUGUAUCAUAAUUAAUUUAAAAAAGACCCUCCAAAUAUGAAAUUAAUUAACAAAAGAUUCUUAGCAGGAAUUACAAAUGAAAGUACAGUACACAAUUAUUCUUCCAAUUCCUACCUAAAUAAUGGUUGGUAUGACUAUUGUUUUGUUUAAAAAACUAAAUGUUUUCGGUCAGAUAAUACAAUAUUAAGCUGCGCAACUUGUUUAAAAUAAAGAUAAUUUUCUGAUAACAGGUAAAAGUUGCAGCCAAUUCAGUGUAAAAGAAAUGUAAAUAUAUAUUUUUUUCUCAGACGAUUUGUUGUUAUUUUUUUCCACAGAAAACUUGAAUUCAUUAUGCAUUUAGAUAGUUUACAACAUAAAAUAUUUAAGACACCAAAUGAGUAGUAAAAUCAAACAAAAGAUACAAAAAUUAAAAUUAACACACCAUAAACACAUGUUAAAAUUCAUUAAUAAUUAGGCACAACACAAAGCAAAUUUACAGACAUAAAUUUGUUUUCCAAAAGUUAGCAAAGCAAAAACUUUUGCAACAACUUCUAAUAGCAUUCUCACUCUAUCACAUGUUGUUAGCCACGAACACAGUAUCAUGGCCAAUAAAGUCUAGAGAUCCAGAAUGUUUACAUUAUGAAAAUGCAUAGAAAGCAGGGCAGAUCCGGUAAAGGCCUGGGGAGGGGGAGGGGGGUGUGUGUGAUUGAUAUAACAAUACCCUAGACGAUCCAGGGUCAUGCCUCCACAAACAAUUUUUUUUCUAGACGCCCAAAAAUAACAUCUGAAACGUUUUUUUUUGGCGAUCAAUUAUUUCUUUUUCUUUGUUCUUUUUUUUUCAUUUUUUUUACUUUCCGACACUAAAUCCGCACCUGGAAAGGUGAACUAUGGACUCAAAAUGAAUUUACUAGUUGAGGGAAUAAUACCUUACAGUGACAUUUUUGUUGUCAGGAAAAUUGCAAUUAACAUCUAAUAUAAUUGAGUUCACAUUCAUGCUGGUAUAAAUGAAAAUAUCCUGAAUUGGCAAUACUGUGAAUGGACCUUUCCACAAGCACCGCUCCUUGGAUAUUGUUGCUAAGGUCCUGGCUAUUAUACUGUGGAUGGACCUUUCUGCUAAGCUAAGCCACGCCCCUUGGAUAUUAUUGCCAAGGUCCCACAAAAAAAUAGCGUAAAUGUAUACACAGUAAUCACAUGCACUGUGGGACACAGUGUUGAUGUGCUGAUUGGUUAGUUGUUAAAUUUGAUUGACACCCUGGAAAGUCCAUUGCAAUGAUGUUCUCAUUUACAUAAAGAGGCACCUGUGAGAACGUGCCUACCACAUAACACAUAAGAAUGUUACCUACAAAAUAUAAUAAUCAAAAUUAACAAAAUAACAGCAUAUUGCUCUAAUGCAUUUAAAAAAUUCAUUUCUUAUCUGAUAGCAAAAAUGAGGAUUCAAUAGGACUAAUUGAACACUACACAAUUCUAUAAUAUAUACCUAAUAUACACAUUUUAAAAAUUAAUUUAAACUAUU
rnacentral:lncRNA from 1 species